UCGUACGGGGGGCUGCAGUGUCCUACGGGGGGCUGCAGUGGGGAAUAUUGCACAAUGGGCGCAAGCCUGAUGCAGCGACGCCGCGUGAGGGAUGACGGCCUUCGGGUUGUAAACCUCUUUCAGUAGGGAAGAAGCGAAAGUGACGGUACCUACAGAAGAAGCACCGGCUAACUACGUGCCAGCAGCCGCGGUAAUACGUAGGGUGCGAGCGUUAUCCGGAAUUAUUGGGCGUAAAGAGCUCGUAGGCGGUUUGUCGCGUCUGUCGUGAAAGUCCGGGGCUUAACCCCGGAUCUGCGGUGGGUACGGGCAGACUAGAGUGCAGUAGGGGAGACUGGAAUUCCUGGUGUAGCGGUGGAAUGCGCAGAUAUCAGGAGGAACACCGAUGGCGAAGGCAGGUCUCUGGGCUGUAACUGACG
rnacentral:rRNA from 1 species